GAUGAACGCUGGCGGCGUGCUUAACACAUGCAAGUCGAACGGAGAAUUGAAGCUUGCUUUAAUUCUUAGUGGCGGACGGGUGAGUAACGAGUGGGUAACCUGCCCUUAAGUGGGGGACAACAGUUGGAAACGAUUGCUAAUACCGCAUAAAGUUGAGAGUCUGCAUGGACUUUUAACCAAAGGAGUAAUCCGCUUUUGGAUGGACCCGCGUCUGAUUAGCCAGUUGGUGAGGUAACGGCUCACCAAGGCGACGAUCAGUAGCCGGCCUGAGAGGGUGAUCGGCCACACUGGGACUGAGACACGGCCCAGACUCCUACGGGAGGCAGCAGUGGGGAAUCUUCCGCAAUGGACGAAAGUCUGACGGAGCAACGCCGCGUGAGGGAUGAAGGCCUUCGGGUUGUAAACCUCUGUCUUCAGGGAAGAAAAAAAUGACGGUACCUGAGGAGGAAGCCCCGGCUAACUACGUGCCAGCCGCCGCCGUAAUAC
rnacentral:rRNA from 1 species